ACAAAAGUUGGGCUGAACCACAGUGACUUUGUGCAUGCUUUUACCAAAAUAUCACCCACUUGGGACUAAGACCCUGUGGCAGUAUAAACUAAUAGCUUAUAUUCAGUAGCUGCAUUAGUAAAAAUGAGAGAAGAUAUUAAAUGGAAACUAUUUGGAGUACACCAGGAAGUCCCAGGAAAGCAGGGGAACAGACAGGUUUGGUGCAGCUUUUCCAGGGCUCCUGUAACUGAGGAGCUUCCAGGUCCCCAUUGAUCAUUCCUCUUCACACCAUGUGUAUAAAAUAGCAAUUGGAGGCUUCAGGAGUGUCAUGUCUGCAUGAUGAGUCCAUCAAUUUUCCUUGGCUGCAGGUUUCCCUUCGGUGGCUGGGAAGUAAAUGAUGGGAAGCUGAAGGAGAAAGCCGUAAAUUACUGGGCUCUGCCAACUCCAAUAUCCACAGCCUGACGGCUCCUGGGUUUGACAACAAUCUGCUUGUCAGUCUCUCUUGCAAAAUAUUAACAUGCUCAAUUAUCAGAGGUGUUAGUCAACUGUUAAAUCUGAGGAUUGAGCAGUCCAAAGGCCAGGGAUGGGCAGGCCCAUCUUCCCUUCCUGCUGCAAAGCCUCUGCUAAGGCUCAGGAGCUGCUCCUUCUCUGCCUGUGAUCUGUGACCUGGUGCUGGGAUUUGGACCCGUUGCCUCCAUCAGACAGGGAACAGUCUCUAAAGUUGGAGAGAAAUUCCCAGUGCAGUAAAGGGUACUAUGGCAGUACAUUCUGGCAACAGGCUGGAAAGAACCAAUGCAUUAACUCAGAGAAGGGGCAGCAGAAGGAAAGCCUGGAGCCACUGCCCACCCUGCAACUGGAACAGGGUUUGAGCAGCAGAGAUGCAAGAGAAAGAAAAAACACCUCUCUCAGAUGGCUGCAAAGAGAAGGUCUCUGCAGUCACUUCUCAAACACUGAAGAUAUUCUCAUUUAAAAAUAUCCACUUAAAGGUAGGUUUAAUCUCCAAAUGGCAUUUUCCACUUUAAAAAAAAAUAAAAAAUCACAUACACACAUGCACAAAAACCUUCAAAAAAACCCCUCUCCAGUUAUUUCCCCUUCAUUUUUUUUCCCCCAAUUAAAUUAAUUUAAAAUGAGUGGAAAAUGCUUUAUGCCCUAAGAGCCUGAAACCUCUGGUGUCAGCUGAAACUGGCACUUCUGCUCUCAGCUCCAGCCCUCCCUGCAGGCACCUCUGCUUUGAAGCCUUUGAAGUGUUUGUGGCACAGGAAGAGUCUCUCCUCAGAGAACACCCCUCAUUUUAUAUAUAUUUAAUGUGCAAAGUGUGUGUGAGUGUGUUUGUGUUCCUACAACGUGGAUUUUCACCGGGCAGAUGGGAAAAUGGAGAAGAAAUCUUGACUUGCAGGACAAAAUUCAAGUAAAAAUCACUGUCUUGUUGAGAGAUCUUUGAGAUCUUCCAGCCUUCAUCCACGAGGUUAUUUCAGCAUCCUCCUGAGGAUGCAGUUGAAAUGAUCUGCUGGCCUUCAGAGGGACCAAAACAGUUCUUUUAGUGCCUGUAGGACCUGCUCUCACCUCUCCCAGCAUCAGGAUUCCCUUUUAAAGGAAUUUCCUUAGAAAAAUGCCAUCAAAGAACACCAUGGAAAUGCCACCAUGGAAACACCAGGAGCAAAGUAGCUGAGGGUGCCUGUUCUGGCUGGGAGCUGCAGGGCAGCUGGAAUAACCCCCCUGAGCUUAUUUUGGGGAUGUGAUGCAAGAGAAAUGCAAUAAAUUUGAUUAAUGGUUGGAUUUGGGGGUUAAUUAUUUGACUCACAACGUAAGGACCUCGCUUGUGGAAACGAGGUGUGAUGUGGGAGACAGCACCUGAGGUGGGCUGAUGCAAAGUCUCCACCUCAGCACCCAGCAGGACCAAUUUUGAGGGUGAUUUGUCUAAAUUGUUACGUUUCCCUUGUUUUUUUUGGCAGGGAAAUAUUUAGAAUCAAUGCUCCUAUUUCAGAACGUAUUUAUUCACAGUGCCCUGCAAUUAUUCCAGCCUGUAACCAGUGAAGUUUAUUCAGUAAUAAAAUCUUAAAUCAGCCAGUUCAGCCAAUGUUCUUUGAGCCCUGAAUGCUUUGGUGAACAUCUUCUCCCCCUGACUGGUUUUUAAAUACAAGAAAACCCCAAAAGUUUCUUACAACAUAUCAAAUGGAAAAACAAUCAUGUUCUGUGACUCUACAAAACUGUUUCUGAGGACAUGUGAUAUGUUUUGCCAGGGAAAUGUCCCUGCCCCUGUUCCAGGGGUGGCUCUUUCUGCUCAGCAUUUGUUGCUUCUUUUAAUGUAAACACAGGGAAACACUGGAUAAUGGAUAGGGAAAAUAAAUAGACAGGGAAUAUAGAAUUAACCCUGUGUUUUUCACAUGCUUGCCCUUCAUGCCACUUUAUUUUUAAUUUUUCUGGCUUUUCUGAAGCCAUCCUUGAGUCAGCCAAGGCCAGGUGAGACUUUUUCCUUCUCUGCUGAUCCUGAACCUUAUAAACCUUCAAUUUACUCUUCCAUAACCAAAUGUUUAGUACCUACCAGGUGGGUUAAUUAAAGUGCAUUUUUUACAGCUCUGAUAAUAAUCACUACUACAGCACCACAGCAGUGGCUGUAGACUGGUUUUUCAUUUGAUAUUUCUUUUUAACAGUGGUCACACUGUUUAACCCACUGGUUCUUUCAGGUCGAGCCAAAGGUUCUGAUCCUACCUGGAAAUAUCAAGUUCCAAGAGAUGAGAGCAUCACGUGCACUCAUGGCAAUUCCCAAACUAAAUGCAGCAGAGAAUUUUGGAUAUAACUAAAGAAUAGGUGAUUUUUAAUUUAUUUUAAGAGGAGGAAAAAAUCUUAGUAGGAAAAAACAAAAUAUGAGAAGAAAGAGAGAAGAUCAGUGAAUGUCCAGCAUUGAUUUAGGAACAGGCUCUGCCAAGCAGGGGAAAAAGGAGCCCUCCCCAGCCCAUUUAGUGUAUGGUUAUUAGUAUUGAUAUAGUAUUUCCCUUGGCUCCCAAGAGAAAAAUUGGGGAAUGAAUUAGGAAAAAAAAUAAUACAUUUCUGUGAAUAAUUUUUUUCCAAUUCAGACGGGUUUUUUUUUUAGGAAACGGGAGGGGAAAAAAAGAAAAUCUGCUUCUCAAAUGUCAAGGACUUGAAAGACUAAAAAUACAUCACCGGAAUAAAUAAAUUAACCCAGCCGACAGGACUGAUGCUCUGCAGGCAUCAGGGAUUAAAUAAAUUCACUAAAUUCAAAGUGGUAUUGCAGAUAAGAGCUCUUUGUGCUGCAGCAUGUACAGCUUAUUGAUUGUAGGAUUGAGGUGCUGUGCACUCUUGUAAAAGGGGCUGGGGCUGAUAGGGCUUAAUCCUGCCCUAAUGCAGAGCCCGGUGCCCAGAGCGUGGGGCCAGCCCGGAUUUCCUCAUUUAGUUUAAUUUGGUUUGGGUCUUGGUUUGCUGCACCCCACCUGUGCCUCUCCCUGGGCAGUGCCUGAGGGACAAGAGGCACUGCAGAAGGUGCUGACUUAGCAGGAUGAGGGCUGGGGCAGGAAUGCUCCUGGGAAUCUGCCUGGGUUGUCUUCCAUAGGGAUGGGAAGCCUCGGCACCUCUCGUGUUGCAUAGGGGGGCUGCAACCCUGAGCUCAGGGGAUGGAGGGACCUUCUGGGGGGAGAUCCUUGUUCUGCAGCCCCACCUUUUGUUCCAUGAGCCCACCAAGGCAGCAGGAGUGUGUGUGACCAAGGUGAAAACACUGUUCCUGUCCAGAGAAGACGGAUUUUUCCAGACAAAAAGAAAAAAUGGAAAGGUUUAAGUGCUGCUGGGUCAAAGCAAUCCCAGAGGGGAUUAUACACGUGGCUGGAACGAAGGUUGGUAAGUUCCUGUCAACCUGUUUUCCAUGGCAGAGGGGGUUUUCACCCUCCUGGUCAGAUCUGAACUGCCAAAUUCACUCCACACUAAUACAGAAGGACAUUUCUUUCCUCCUCUGGAAGCUCUCCUGCCUCUGGUUCUUAGCUCAGGUCUGUGCAGGUUUCUCCGAAGAGCCAGCAGAGCUCUCCAAACACAGAAUUUUAUAAUUUACCAAGAAAGGGAAAACCCUCCAGGCCUCUGGGAGUGUGAGAAAGCAGCUGGGCAUGGCAGUGAUGCUCUCAUGGAGUGCUGGUCUCCUGGUCCAGGUCUCCUUGAGUCAGGUGGUCCCAGGUAUCAGCACCUUCCCAGCCUCAGGGAGUCCUUGGGUGUCAGUUUUCUGGUAAAAGAGCUGAUCUGACCAACAGGAAAAACUUUUAUUAUCUAUUGUUGUCUACCAGGUAUGAGGGAAAAUCUCCCUGCUAUGAAAGAAGGAGCUACAGGGACUUGACUUUUGGGUAACCUCCUCAAAUCCCUGUAUCUCUCCCUCAGGUUUGGCAAAUCUCCCAAUUUCCAACUUCACCAAAAUCCAGCCUCUUAAUCUCAAGACACAUCAUCUCUCCUACGUAACUCUGCCUCCUGAGCACGAUCACAGGGCCUGCAUUUCAACACCCAAGAUUCAUUAAUAUUUCCUGCAGAGUGUUCAGUAAGUAGCAAAUAAAGCAGGAAGUGUCCCAGAUGUUGGAAAGAAAAAAUGGAAUUAUUCAUUGCUUACUAACAUCAAAUGCUAAUCUGAGAAAAGCAUCCUUGAAGAAAUCCUUGACUAAAAUUCAUCAGAGUGAUGUGAAAUCACUGUUUUAAUUAUGCAUCUUUGAAUGUAUUUAUUAGUCCCGGUUCUGAUCUGACUUACAGAUGUUUAACAGUGAUAAGGGUCUGCUGCAUCUUCGGAAUUACUCGUGAUUUAUAAUGACAAAACUUGGAUCAGAAUUAGGUCCUUGUCACUACUCUAUAAUAUCCUUUCAUCAAACUUCCUCACAUGCAACAGAUGAAAGCAAAAACGUGGUUUCUGCAGUUUCAGACCUCACCACUGAGCUCGUUAGGUUGGGGUUUGAAAUUUCUCCUCCAGAAAUGAUGAUUCUCGCACAAAAUGUUGUCUGUGUGAGCUCUGCUCAUCACAGGAAACUCGAGAGCAAAGGGAACUCUUUAUUCCACCAAAAAGGUGUGUUUGGGUAACCUUGUGCUGGCUAUAAACGUGGAGUUUUAAUAGAGGAGUCAGUUCUUCAGUUAUGCAGCUCUAUAAUAUCAUUCUCUCUUAUUGUUGUGACUAUUAGAUGUAUAUCUAUAUCUAAUACUGGGAGAUUUGUCAAACCUAUGGGAAAUAGGGGAAUUUGAUGGGGUUACCCAAAAGCUCAAUACCAGAUGACUAUUGGAGAGACUGUGCUCAAUACCAAAGAUAUUUAAAACAGAACACUCUCUAUUCCAGACUGAUUCAAAGCCACCUGUGUUUCCAAAGAAUGAUGGAGUUUUAAACUACUGCUUGUUCUAGAGCUGAUCCAGAAAGAGCAGGUCUCCAGGGAUGGUUUACUCCCUAAGGCAUGACUGCAUGAUUCAGCUCAAUGUAUUCCAUAAAUGCCUUGAUGACAUUAAACUAAAUUUUUUAAAGAACAGAUGGAGAAAGUUAAUAAAUAUUUCAUUCUAUAAUAUAAAACUCACUUCUAUAUUCACAACUUCAGGGAUGCUCAGCUUCACAGAUACCAAUAAGUCUGAUGGAUUUCUUGCUGCAUUCUCAUUCUUCUGCCCUGGUGUCUCUUAUGGGAUCAUCAUUUCUGCAUGCUUGGUUUGUUUUAUGGGAUCAAGGAAAGGCAAGUGACUGUAAAUCUUGACCUCCUCUGCUCCUGGAUUAUAUACUUUUAUUCUUUGUGACCAUAAGUGUUCGUCUCUACACUGAAUAGAUAAUUAAAUGACAAAAAUUAUUCAAAGGGAAUUUAUAGUGAGAAAUUAUCCCUUGAAGAACUGAUAGGGCACAGGCAUAACCCAAGGAGAUACCAGGAAAAAAUCCAGUUUAGAAUGGCCAAAUAAAACACUGAAAUAUCUGUGUAUUUAUAAACGUCAUGAAAACAUCCAUUUCCUGGGAAAAAACACAGUCUUUACCUGCAUAUCCCAAUUCUGUUCAAAUAAAAUUUCUAUGAAGGGAAAACAGUGUGAAUAGUGCUUAAGAACUGGAGACCAAGCCAGUUAUUCAUAUGAAAGAACUAAUCUUUCCAUGUGGGAAUUACAAUUUCUCACUCUAUGUAUGCCAUGAAUCUUGUAAAAGAAUAAUUAGAACUUGCUCCAAAAGGAAAGAAACGCCAGACUUGAAUAAUAUUUUAGGAAGAGCAUUAACAAACAGUUUUAUACUGCCAACAAUCUUCUAGAAGAGAUUUACAUUCCAUUAUUAAUUAACUGUACUGAGUCAAUAGCAUGACAUAAAGCUCAGGAGAUGUAUGUUUAGCACAAACUCUGACAUUCAGGAGAACUGCACACAUUUGGAGGAAGUUUGAUUUAAAAUUUAUGCAAACGAGCUCAGCAAGCAAAGACCCCACAAACUACUUCAAAGCAUCCCCAUCCAGCCCGAAAAACAUGACAAGAUCAAAUCUUUGUCAUCUCUCAAGUGUCUUUCCAAAGCUCCACAUAUUCAGUGUAAAUUAUAUCCCCCCCCCCCCCAGCACCUGGAUGGUUUGGUGUAGAAUUAGGGAUGCUUUGUUCUUCUGACACUGCCACGUCAGACAAGGGGCACCUGAGUGAUUGGAAGAAUUUAAAUAUACCUAAAUGACAUGGAAAUUGUCCUUGUGGAGCUGACUCCUGUGCAGAGUCCGUAGAAUACGAGGUCCCACGCUGAGCUGGCUCACAGGGUCGACCACAACCAAGCAAAGAAAAAAUACCAGGGCUAUUGUCCCCUUCCCCUUUCCCCCCAGCUCUGACCAUCCUUCUGGCUUAGGGUUGAGAAACCUCACAAAACUGUGUCCAGGGAAAAUAUUAAAUUCAGAGUAACGACAAAAAUUAUUCCAAGGGAAUUUAUAGUGACAAAUUAUCACUUGAAGAAGUGAUGGGGCACAGAUAAUCCAAGGAGAUACCAUGAUAUUAUGCUAUUGUUUCCACCUCCUUUUCCCUUAAUUCUGGCCAUCUUUCUGGUUUUGGGUCGAGAAACCUCACAAAACUGUCUGCAGGGAAAAUAUUCAAUUCAGAGUAACGACAAACAUUAUUCAAAGGGAUUUUAUAGUGAGAAGUUAUAAGAACUGAUGGGGUACAGGCAUAACCCAUGGUUUCAUUGUCCCCCCUCCUUUUCCCUCAACCCUGACCAUCUUUCAGUUUUUGGGAUGUGGAUCCCCACAACACUGUGUCCAGGAAAAAUAUUAAAUGUGGAGUAACACAUUGCUGUAAAGAAAUACUAAUUAAUUCAGGUUAAGUUUCAUGCCACAGAAAUUGGUUUAUUCCCUUAUUGAAAGUUAGGUUAGGUCCAGGUAAAUUUGUAUCUUCAGAAUCAGGGCUUUUAAGGAAAAAAAAAAGUUUCUCGUGUUUCCCGACAUCCCAUUAAAAAGGUUGUCCUUUGACGUCAAUUAGAGCCAGCUAAGGAAAAAAAAUCAUCCUUAAUUGCUUUUCAGAAACAGACAUUAGAAUGUCCCCCUUGCAGCCAGAUUCGAUUACCUUUUACAAGAAACAAGGAUGCUGGGAAUGCCAUAAAACUCCGGCUCUGCUGAAUAUGGAUGUGGGGCUCUGCUAACAAUCCAUGGAGCUGCUUUUCCUUGGGCUGCAGGGAAAGCUCACACAAAGCCCACAGACACCCCUAAACUUCUCCAAAAUGUAAAAAUGCUGAAGCUGGGUUAGCAUCUGGGGCUGGUUUUGGGACAGCUCUGCAACGGAGCGAGGCUGGGAGAGCUGGGGGUGUUCACCUGGAGAGAAGAAUCCAGAGACCUGAGAACUCCUUCCAGGGCCUAAAGGGGCUCCAGGAGAGCUGGAGAGGGAGCUUGGACAAGAGUCUGGAGGGACAGGACAAAGGGGACUGGCUUCCCACUGCCAGAGGGCAGGGUUAGAUGGGAUAUUGGGAAGGAAUUCCUGGCUGUGAGGGUGGGGAGGCCCUGGCACAGGUUGCCCAGAGAAGCUGUGGCUGCCCCUGGAUCCCUGGAAGUGUCCAAGGCCAGGUUGGACAGGGCUUGGAGCAACCUGGGCUGGUGGAAAGUGUCCCUGCCCAUGGCAGGGGGUGGAAUGAGAUGGAUUUAAGGUCCCUCCCCAGUCAGACUAUUCUAUGGAUGCUCAGUGCUCCAGCCCUGCCUCCACGUAAGAGCGAGUGUAAUUUACCCCGACGAUUAUAGCUACAAAAACGAUCUAGUCCUCAAAAACUUGUGCCUGUUUCUUUACAUCACCAAAGCCUUCUCCAAACUUGUCUUACUCCAGGGACUCCAUAAUGUCUCUGCCCACCAGGAAGAAGAGGAGUCCAGCCAGCAGGACCAGGGGCACCCCGGCUGCGGCGAACAUGAACGACCACCCGUAGUAGACGUGCACGGGGACGUCGUCCAGGCACCUCUCGCUUCUCUCCAGCAGGAUGUACUUCUGGAAGUCAGCAGCAAACUCCUUCCACAUCACGAAGAGAAACACCAGCAGGAGAAAUAAACCUCCUGGAAAGGGAGACAGAGAUGAGUCAUUGUCUGCACAUGGAACACGGGAGUAAAAGUUCCUGUGGAAGCCAAGCCCUCUUGUCCUGGAGGAGAUCACACUGUGACAAGUUCCUGCCCACUGACACCUCAUGCUUUAACAAUCAGG